rnacentral:lncRNA from 1 species
UGCCCUGUGCCAGGCGAGAGGAAAGCGUUUCACAGGAUUCUGCCUGGGUGAGCCAGAGACUCCCUGGAGAGCGGUCCCGCCGCCCUCCACAGCCAGGGCCGCUCCUCUCUUGUUCUUAGCCCUGUGCACUGUUCCAGCACAGCUGUUCCCAAGCGCACGGCGGCUGCUCCCGCACUUCCACCGAGAAAAAGCUGAGGUCGGCGUAGCCGUGGAGAGGCCAAAAGCUGCUGUGAAGUACCACGAAUGACAGAAACUGGCUUAAGACAACAGAAAUGUAUCCUCCCCCAGUUCUGGAAGCCGGAAGUCUGAGACGAAGGCGUCAGCAGGGCUCUCAUCCAUUCGCCAUGCUGGGUCUGUCACGGCCUGAAUGCUUUCGUCCCCAACGUUCAUAGGAAGCUGGUGAUGAGAAGAGCCCAAUGCCGAGUCGUCUUCCUGGUUGCCGGAUUCGUCUAUGCUCGCAGGGCUGUGAAGGAACGCCUGAGACGGGCGCCCCAGCAGUGCAGCCCGACUACCAGCCGAUUUGCUCAGAUGAGUCAGCAGCCUGAGAAAAACUACACAAUGGAUGAGGCCAAAUAGUAACAGAAAUCGGAGCUAAACAACAUACAGAUCCCCUUUGUGUGGCACUGAAGCCGAACGAGACCCUGGGAGUCUACAAUGAGACAGGCCUUUCCUGCCUGACAUGUGGACCAGCCAAGUGAACCCCACCACACCCGGUCACUGAACGCCGACCUCCAGGGGACCACAUACGCACGCACAU